UUCCUCUCAUUUUCCUUUCGCUUCGUUUCUCCCACUUUCCUCAAACCUCCGAAGCAGAACUCACGUUUUGACCAGACAUAACGUACAAAGGUAGAGGAACGACCACCACCACCAUCGGAAGCGCCUCAACUCCACCGCCGGCGACCACCGAUGCAACCCUUUGCGAAGAUCGCCUCCCGCAGGCGCCACCCUUCGCAACCAACGACGCCAAACCCACCCACGGCCAAGAAGGUGAUGUUUCCGUUACCAUCACCAUGGUCUUUCAUGUCGCUGGAGUCUGUUCCAUCGGUAUGGCCUCCUCUAGAUGACCAAAGUGAUUUUUGAAGGUAUCUUCCCCAUCCUUUAUUUUACUUUACAUGGUUUUUUUGGCAAUAGGUGAACAUAAUUUAGUUAGUCUUGAUUUUAUUUUAAAUUUUUUGGAGACAUAGAAGAAGAAGAGGUAUCGAGUGGUUCUUCAAAAAGGGGGUGUGGUGAGUUAGAUACUAACGAGGAUGGAAAAUAGGCAACAAAAAUUUGUGAAGAUAGAGUUGAGGAACCAAAGGUGGGAAUGGAUUUUGACAUAUCAAACGAAACUUAUCUAUAUUACUCAAGAUAUGCUAAAGAAAAUGGGUUUGUUGUGGCUAAAAGAACGUCGCAAAAGGGAAGAGAUGGAAACUUGAGGCUUGUAAGUUUUGAAUGCACUUGUUUUGGAAAGGCAAGGGUGAGAACAAGCAAUCCAGUCAAACCACGGCCACAAACAAAAAUUGGUUGUCCAACUCGCCUUCAUGUUUCUUUAUACGCAGAUGGAAAGUGGAGGUUAAACCGGGUGGGUUUUCUUGGGCCACAAUUAUGAAUAGAGUCUGGGAAAGUGUAGGUUUUACUGGAGCAAUAGGGUACUUGAUAAACACGUGAAAAGAAAGCUUGUAUUGAAUGAUAAAGUCGGAAUUAGAUUGCACAAGACCUAUGCCUCACUUUAGAUUCAGGCGGGGGACCUGAUAAGCUUCCAUAUCUUGAGAAGGAUUGCUGAAUUUUUUUGGACAAAGAUAAGCUCUCAAAUACCCCUAAAAAUGGAUCUCUUUUUCUUUUAUCUUCUUUUUGCUUUUGAUGUAAAAAAGAAUUGAUACGUAGAGCUUACUUAAUUAACUACGGAUUAAAACGAUGACUCCUAAUAAUGAAUAACGAUGAAGUGGGGUCGGUCAACAAAUUCCGUGAUUAGGUUGACGUGUCACUCAAAUUUGAACAGGCGACAAGUGUAGGAUGUCUGAGUAUUCUUUUUGGAAACAAAAUUCCCGAAAAGAAAGAAAAACGCAAAAAGCUAUACUCUCUCCCUCUCACAUCCCAGAUAUGAACAAAAUGCGAAAAGCUUGUAGAGAGGAAAAAGAGAGCAGAGAAACUAAAAAUGGCGGAAGAGAGUAGAAAGAUGAGAAAGGGUGAAUGACUUGGAUAACAAGUCGAGAAUAGUGCGUCUUUGCAAUUUCCGAACAUUCUAGAUGGGCAAAGUCAUGAUAUUGAAGAUGAAGACCUCGUACAUGGGAAGUUCACAAAUGGUCUUAUCUAUUACGUGCGCUAGUGCCCAGUUCCGCCUCCACCGUCAUCAUAUCUUUGUUUGUAAAAGUAGGGUAAGUGUUACAUUUAGUAAAGUAUAUUAUGUGCAUAAAUGUAUGCAUGUGUGAUGGGUUGUUCUCAAACGGUCAUUUUCUCGAUGUCUUCAUCAACGUCCUCAUCACCCACACCUAUUCCUUCAUCUACUCAUCCUACAUUCCCCAAUCCCUCAUUAUUUUCGUCCCAUACCCCGCCUACACCUUUGUCAGCUUUGGCUAUCGAUGAUGAUGUCGAGAAAUUGACCGUUUACGAACAACACUACCACACAUGCAUACAUUUACACAUAUAAUAUACUUUACUAAAUGGAAGACUUUACCCUACUUUUACAAGCAAAGAUGCGAUGACGGUGGAGAUAGGAACCGGGCUCGAGUGCACAUAAUAGCUAAGGCCAUUUGUGAGCUUCCCAUGUACGAGGUCUUUGUCUUCAAUAUCGCAAACCUUAUCCAUCUGGAGACGUUCAGUGGUCGGUAGUUGCAAAGACGCACUACUCUCGGCUUCUUCUCCAAGCCAUUCACCCUUUCUCUUCUUUCUACUCUUCUGCCAUUUUUAGUUUCUCUGCUCUCUUUUCCCUCUUUGCAAGCUUUUAACGUUUUGUUUCUAUUAGGGAUGAGAGAGAGAGAAUAGCUUUUCGCGGUUUUUUUUUCUUUUCAGUUGACCGGCCGCACUUCAACAUUAGUAGGAGUCGUUUUAAUCCGUAGUUAUUCAAGGGUAUUGAUGUUUAUCUUUGUUUAUUUUAAUUUAGAUUAUGGGUAGGCCGGUUGGAAUUACAAAGGAAACCUACUCACCUCUUUCAUAUCAUUACUACAGCACACCUGUUCAGUUUGUCUCCCUUGCAUCUAAAAGAAAAACAAUAAUAAAGAAAUAGAUAGACGACGCAUAGAAAAACCCACUCUUACACGAUGUCUGUUAGUUUAUUAUUGCUGAUUCUUUUGCUCAUGCAGAAUAUCCGUUACUUUUGCUUGUCCAAAUAUACUUGUUAAGGGCACACAAAAUGUAGUUAUGGACUUUAUAGUCUUUGACAAUGAGAAGUUCAUGGUAUAUACUUUAUAGUUAAGUUUUGGGUUGCCACUUUCACAAAUUUGACAAAAAGAUUCGAAUCUUAGGAGAGACUAAUAUAUAGAAAUGGAUUUCUAUGCUGAAAAUCGUUUAGUUAGACUUUGCUGUCAUGAAAGCUUUGGACACUGGGUCUGACUUUUUUCAGAGCAGUACCUGCUGGAUAUAGGCCAUAGGGUAUUGGCUACUGGUAGAACUGUGCACAUUGCAGCAUGUUUGGAUUCCUAAUUAAGAAUUUAACAGGGACUUCUUGUCAUUCUAUACCAAAUUACCAAUGAUCUUUCUUUUAUUUACCCAGCUUAGCAUGAACAAGCUUUAAAAGCUGAUCAAUCAGUUGAGGCAUAGGUGUUUGUUUGUUGGAUGUCAAGAUACGGAUGAUAUGGAUUUGUAGAUAGUUGCGGUUGCAGGGGAUUUGAUUGUCAUAGCAUGUUUGGAUUCUUUUUAGUUAUGUGAAUGAAAAACUAAAAAAUCAAGGCCUGGAUGCUGUUAUUUUGCUUAAGAUAUCUUUUUGUUGAGAACAAAAGAGUAAAACCUAUUUGCUAUAUUAACACAUCAACUGUUUCACUGAAUUUUUUCUCAUUGUUCAUUCGCACUCCUGGUGAUCUUUACGAAGGAACAAGGAUGGCUACGAUUACAGACAUUUCCUGUUUAAAACAACUUAUACUGCCUUUAGAAGAAUCCAGCGCAUUGGGUAGUUGGAACUCAUUUGUCUUUUCACUAUUUUAGCUACUUCAAGCACUGGAUUCGUUCAUCAUCAUAGUGAGGGAGGGUCUAAUCAUCGCUUGUGCUGCUCUUUUCCAUUCUUUAGAAAAAAAAUGUGAAGUUGCUGGUGUUGCUGUUUCUCCUGAAUGCCGUGGGCAAGGACAGGGAGACAAAUUACUGGGUAUGGUAGUGAAUAUGUAGCAAUUACUUUUCUGCAGUGUUUUUAUUCCCUGAGUUGGCAAUGGUGAACUUGUCUCAAUGUUUAUCUCUGUUUGGGAAUUUCGUUUCCUUUACAACUUUUCUGAAUAAUCAUCACAAAUGGAAUUUUACAGAUUAAGUUGUAAAGAAGGAAUCUUCAAUUGGAUUUGAAAUGCUUUUCCUGCUUACAACCUGGACUGCUGAUUGGAACAUUGCAUUAACUCGCAUGAUCCAACAAUUACUGAGACAAACAUCGCGAGGAAAGAGCAGAGAGACAGAGAGAAGAGAGGAGCCUGAAACCGAGAGAGACCAGAGAGGGCACUGAGAAGCAUUAGGGUCAUUGAGUUAGUGUGUAAUGCCAGUGAAAAACAAAUAGAGAAGCCAUUGAGUCUCCGAUAGGGAAGAGAGAAAAAAAGUUGGGUUUGCAGGUUUUCUUUCAUGCGCACCAGGAAUGCAUGGACAGUGAGUACCGAACACAAGGGUCCAGAAGGACGGCACAAAUUAAGUCUUCUGAUGAGGAUAACAGUCGGUUUGUGAGGCGUGGUUUCUCAGCAUGAUCUGUUGAAUGCAUACCAGAGGAAAAGAGGAAGAAGAUAAAUCGGUCCCGUGGAUGAUGAUCAAAGUGCUAUAUGAAGAAGCUACAACCUGACAUGAGUGGAAUUAGCAUCGAUCGAGUUGGAGUUGGUUAUGUUACCCGCUAAUAGACUUGGAACAAAGUUCUCAAGUUUAGGGUUCAAGCAUCUUAAACAUCCUGAUUCCUGGUGACAUAUUUACCCAAAGAAAGAAAAAAACAUCCUGGUGACAUCUAUUUAUUUCUACAUCUUAACGGUGAUUGCGUUGUUUGCUUUAGUUAAAGGCAAUAUUCGCAUGAAAGGCUAGCUGACUAGGUUAGUUUUUUUGUAUCAGAUCUUUAGACGACGGCUGAUUCACAUGCUUACGUAAAAGUUGUUAAGUCGCAGCUACUA